rnacentral:lncRNA from 1 species
AUUUCAGGUAAUUCUGGAACACUUCAGACUUCAGAAACUCUUGCCGAAUCUUUUACAUUUCUAGAACGAAAUAUGGAACGAAGGCGGAAGAAAUGGCGUACACAAUGACGGAUAAACAAUUUUCUAGUGGUAAUUUUUACAAGGUGCUGGGAGUUGAUCCAAAUGCCAAUCAAAUUGAAAUUAAAAGGAUGUAUCAAGUGCUUGUUUUAAAG